GACGAACGCUGGCGGCGUGCUUAACACAUGCAAGUCGAACGGUAAGGCCCUUCGGGGUACACGAGUGGCGAACGGGUGAGUAACACGUGGGUGAUCUGCCCUGCACUUCGGGAUAAGCCUGGGAAACUGGGUCUAAUACCGGAUAGGACCCUGGGAUGCAUGUCCUGGGGUGGAAAGCUUUUGCGGUGUGGGAUGGGCCCGCGGCCUAUCAGCUUGUUGGUGGGGUGAUGGCCUACCAAGGCGACGACGAGUAGCCGGCCUGAGAGGGUGACCGGCCACACUGGGACUGAGAUACGGCCCAGACUCCUACGGGAGGCAGAAGUGGGGAAUAUUGCACAAUGGGCGCAAGCCUGAUGCAGCGACGCCGCGUGAGGGAUGACGGCCUUCGGGUUGUAAACCUCUUUCAGCACCGACGAAGCGCAAGUGACGGUAGGUGCAGAAGAAGGACCGGCCAACUACGUGCCAGCCGCCGCGGUAA
rnacentral:rRNA from 1 species